rnacentral:rRNA from 1 species
GACGAACGCUGGCGGCGUGCUUAACACAUGCAAGUCGAACGAAAAGAGGGAAAGAGCUUGCUCUUUCCGGAAUUGAGUGGCAAACGGGUGAGUAACACGUAAACAACCUGCCUUCAGGAUGGGGACAACAGACGGAAACGACUGCUAAUACCGAAUAAGUUCCAAGGGCCGCAUGGCCCAUGGAAGAAAAGGUGGCCUCUACCUGUAAGCUAUCGCCUGAAGAGGGGUUUGCGUCUGAUUAGCUGGUUGGAGGGGUAACGGCCCACCAGGGCGACGAUCAGUAGCCGGUCUGAGAGGAUGAACGGCCACACUGGAACUGAGACACGGUCCAGACUCCUACGGGAGGCAGCAGUGGGGAAUCUUCCGCAAUGGGCGAAGGCCUGACGGAGCAACGCCGCGUGAGUGAUGACGGCCUUCGGGUUGUAAAACUCUGUGAUCCGGGACGAAAAGGCAGAGUGCGAAGAACAAACUGCAUUGACGGUAC